rnacentral:rRNA from 1 species
UACGUAGGGUGCAGGCGUUAAUCGGAAUUACUGGGCGUAAAGCGUGCGCAGGCGGUUUCUUAAGUCAGAUGUGAAAGCCCCGGGCUUAACCUGGGAACUGCGUUUGAAACUGGGAGACUAGAGUGUGGCAGAGGGGGGUGGAAUUCCACGUGUAGCAGUGAAAUGCGUAGAUAUGUGGAGGAACACCGAUGGCGAAGGCAGCCCCCUGGGUUAACACUGACGCUCAUGCAUGAAAGCGUGGGGAGCAAACAGG